UACUUUUCUCAGAAAAAAAGAAUAUAUAUAUGUUAAAAAAAAAAUUUAGAAAUUUUUUCUAAGUUUUUUUUUUUAUCAUAUAAAAUUUAUAUUAGGCAAUAAGUUUAUUAAUAACUUAGAGAAUUUUUUUUUUUUCUCAUAUAAAAUUAAUAU
rnacentral:rRNA from 1 species